AGUGAACGCUGGCGGUAGGCCUAACACAUGCAAGUCGAACGGCAGCACAGUAAGAGCUUGCUCUUACGGGUGGCGAGUGGCGGACGGGUGAGGAAUACAUCGGAAUCUACUUUUUCGUGGGGGAUAACGUAGGGAAACUUACGCUAAUACCGCAUACGACCUACGGGUGAAAGCAGGGGAUCCUCGGACCUUGCGCGAUUGAAUGAGCUGAUGUCGGAUUAGCUAGUUGGCGGGGUAAAGGCCCACCAAGGCGACGAUCCGUAGCUGGUCUGAGAGGAUGAUCAGCCACACUGGAACUGAGACACGGUCCAGACUCCUACGGGAGGCAGCAGUGGGGAAUAUUGGACAAUGGGCGCAAGCCUGAUCCAGCCAUACCGCGUGGGUGAAGAAGGCCUUCGGGUUGUAAAGCCCUUUUGUUGGGAAAGAAAAGCAGCAGGUUAAUACCCCGCUGUUCUGACGGUACCCAAAGAAUAAGCACCGGCUAACUUCGUG
rnacentral:rRNA from 1 species